rnacentral:rRNA from 1 species
UCCUACGGGAGGCAGCAGUGGGGAAUCUUGCGCAAUGGGCGAAAGCCUGACGCAGCGACGCCGCGUGCGGGAGGACGCCCUUCGGGGUGUAAACCGCUGUUACCCGGGACGAACCUGGCUUUUCGAGGCCACUGACGGUACCGGGGAAGAAAGCACCGGCUAACUCUGUGCCAGCAG